AGUGAACGCUGGCGGCAGGCCUAAUACAUGCAAGUCGAACGGCAGCACAGCAGAGCUUGCUCUGUGGGUGGCGAGUGGCGGACGGGUGAGGAAUACAUCGAGACAUGCCUAUUAGAGGGGGAUAACUCAUCGAAAGAUGGGCUAAUACCGCAUAAUCUCUCCGGAGGAAAGCUGGGGACCCGCAAGGGCCUGGCGCUGAUAGAGUGGUCGAUGGUCGAUUAGUUAGUUGGUGGGGUAAAGGCCUACCAAGGCAACGAUCUGUAGUUGGUCUGAGAGGACGACCAGCCACACUGGGACUGAGACACGGCCCAGACUCCUACGGGAGGCAGCAGUGGGGAAUUUUGGACAAUGGGCGCAAGCCUGAUCCAGCAAUGCCGCGUGCAGG
rnacentral:rRNA from 1 species